rnacentral:misc_RNA from 1 species
UGAGCAGUUUAGAUCUGUAAAGCAGUGUGGAAUGGAGUGAUAUGAUUCCCUUGGGUUGGGGUCACAAAUAUGGCAGGUUUUUAACCCCCCUGGUUGAUUUUAACUCCAGUGCUGGGAGAAUCAGAACUUUUUAAUUCAAGUGAACGAAGAUGUUUUUUUCAUCUUCAACCCUGAGGCUGGGAGCCCAACAGAAACCGAGAAGAAACCUUGGUUGGAUUCUCCUGGUUAUCCUAAGUACAUCACACUCGGUUUCUGGGUUCCAGAGAAGCCGGGGUGAUAUAGCUUUCUCUUCAAAUGAUUUUGGGAGCACUGAUUCAGGGCCUACUUUUGAAAUACCAGGUCGGGUGUCUUUUCAGUUUAACGGUGAUGUAUCGCGUCGCCAAUCUCAAGGGGGGCAACGAGAUUGUGGCAGGGGUGAGGGGGGCUGUGGAUCCUGCACCCCCAAAUGUUUAGGAGAAAAGGGGUCCAUGGGUCCCCCUGGUAUCCCUGGCUCAGAGGGUCCCAAGGGCCGCCAAGGGUUUGUUGGCAUGGAGGGGUUACCAGGACCUAAGGGUAGUAUUGGCAACCCUGGAGUUCAGGGACCCCGGGGAAUGAAGGGGGACCGGGGGAAAAUGGGAAUGCCAGGUUUCCCUGGAAUAAAUGGACUGCCUGGACUCCAGGGACCCCCUGGACUACGAGGUCUUGAUGGACUGGACGGAUGCAACGGGACCGAUGGUUUGCCGGGGAAAAUGGGGUUUCCGGGUUCUCAAGGUGAGAAGGGAAACAUGGGGUAUCCCGGAGAGAAAGGAGAGAGAGGAGAACCAGCCUAUGUUCCACCAGCUCCUAAAGGACAGAAAGGAGAACCAGGACAAAACGGAUAUCCUGGAGAACCGGGUAGACCAGGACAACCAGGAUAUCCGGGUACUAAGGGAGACAGGGGACUGGACGGAGUAGAUGGUAGACCAGGAUAUGACGGGCAGAAGGGCGAGAAGGGGAGUAUGGGAUUAAGAGCUGAAGGAGAAAAGGGGGAUAAAGGACAGAAAGGACGACCAGGGCCCCCAGGGAAUGUGGAACUACCAAACUUUACGGUUAAUCAAACUUUCAUUGGACCAAAGGGAGAUACAGGACCCAUGGGGGACCAGGGACCAAAAGGAGAUAAAGGACUUCGUGGAGAAACUGGACUACCUGGACCUCAAGGAAUGACAGGACGAGUUGGACCUAAAGGAGAGAAGGGACUACCUGGUAGUCCAGGGCCUAGGGGUAAAGAGGGUCCUUUCGGACCUCCCGGUCCCAUGGGUCAGAAAGGAGAUCAAGGGAACAAUGGAUAUGAUGGAUUAUCUGGUAGACCCGGAGCCAAGGGAGAACCAGGGAGACCUGGCAGGGACGGAGAAUCAGGGCUCGAGGGACCACCAGGAGCACCAGGGGGAGGACCAAAGGGUGGACCACCAGGACCUCCUGGUCCACGAGGGUUUCCUGGACCACCGGGACCACCAGGACAGGACGGAUCAGACGGAGAAACAGGAAAACCAGGACCUGAAGGUCCAGUGGGAGGACUUGGACUCCCAGGUUUACCAGGGUUAGAGGGACCACCAGGAGAGAAAGGAGAGAAAGGAAACUCUGGUUUGCCAGGUUUCCCUGGUUCUCCGGGUCUUCGGGGAGAAAGAGGAAACCCUGGAGCUACAGGAAUAAAUGGAGAGAAGGGACAGAAAGGAGAAUCCAUUGCCGGUCCUCCUGGAAGGGAUGGAUUAAACGGAAUGCCAGGACGAACUGGACAAAAAGGAGAGCGAGGUUUUCCAGGGCCCAGAGGUGUACCCGGAGAUGCUCCAGGAACUCCAGGGCCCCCUGGAUCCCCAGGAGACAGGGGUCCAUCUGGUAUACCAGGGUUGUCAGGAGUGAAUGGUGAGAAGGGGGACAAGGGAGAUAAAGGAUUGAAAGGAGGUGAGUGUGCAGUCUGUUUCCCUGGGAUGAAAGGAGAGAAAGGAGGACCUGGAAGGAACGGGUUGGAUGGUAUACCAGGAGAAAGAGGACCUCCCGGAGGUCGAGGAGUAACAGGAGAACGUGGAGAUGAUGGACAACCUGGACCUCCAGGACCUGUUGGACCAAUGGGAGAAGCAGGAAGGGCUGGAGCACCAGGACCUAAAGGAGAAAAAGGAAAAGAUGCAUUUCUACCUAAUGUUGUUGGACCUCCAGGACCUAGAGGAGGUCGAGGUGAACCUGGUCUCCUUGGAGUAGAUGGACAAAAGGGAGGCCCAGGUCUACCUGGACCUGUCGGAAUGCCUGGACCACAGGGUGACAAGGGAAACCCCGGUCCACCCGGGAAAGAUGGACUUCCUGGAAGAGAUGGACAACCUGGACCACCGGGUAUACCUGGUCCCAAGGGAGAUGGGCAGAAAGGAGAUCCUGGACCCAAAGGAGAUACCGGACCACAAGGUCCCAAGGGAGAUACAGGACCUGUUGGAGAACGAGGGGAUCCUGCAAAAUGUCCAGCUGUAGAGGAACUACGGAAAGGUAUAAAAGGAGAAAAAGGAGAUGGAGGAUUGAACGGGAAGGACGGAGAAAAAGGAGAUCGAGGACCGCAAGGUAUAAUUGGUUUACCAGGACAGAAAGGAGAUCAAGGACAGAAAGGAGAAAUUGGUCCUUAUGGACCUCCCGGUCCUAACGGAGUAAAGGGUGACCGGGGAGUCCCUGGUGUUGAAGGUUUGCCCGGUCCCCCAGGUCGGGACGGAUUCCCUGGUAUAGCUGGUAUCAUCGGAGAUAAGGGAGAUAAAGGAUUACCCGGUAGACCAGGAGUAGGACCUCCUGGACCACCUGGACAACCUGGACUCAAGGGAGAGAAUGGACUUCCUGGACUACCGGGGAAAAAUGGACCACCUGGAACACCGGGUUUGCUUGGCAUGCCAGGUAUCAAGGGGGACCUGGGAGCUGUAGGACUACCUGGUCUCAACGGUAUCAAAGGAGAUCUUGGAUAUCCAGGUGUCCCUGGUCCCCCUGGUCCUGCAGGACCUGCCGGACCUCCAGGUAGGGACGGAACCAAGGGUCUACCAGGACUACCAGGACAGCAGGGUCCUCCAGGUAUAUCAGGAGUACCGGGUAUGAAAGGGAACAAGGGAGAAGAAGGACGUGAAGGACCAAAGGGGUAUCCUGGUAUGCCAGGACGCCCUGGAACUCCAGGACUUCAGGGACUUGAUGGACUUCCAGGACAGAAGGGUCUUCAGGGAGAGAAGGGGUUAAACGGGUUUCCUGGCCUGCCUGGUUCUCCGGGUCCUGCUGGAGUCCCUGGUCUACCUGGAUCCAAGGGGGACAAGGGAAACCUUGGUCUCCAGGGUCUACCCGGACCAAGGGGACAGGAAGGAAUGAAGGGAGACAGAGGACUCACAGGACCUAUGGGUCCUCGAGGUUUACCUGGAACUGCUGCGGCUAAGGGAGAACCAGGAUAUCCUGGUGCACCUGGAGAAAAGGGUUCUACUGGUCCCCCAGGUAGAGAUGGAGUACCUGGAGUUAAAGGAGAAACUGGUUUGGCAGGGUUCGGUAGACCUGGAGAAAAAGGAGAUAAGGGAGACCGUGGACUUUCUGGUCCACCCGGACUUCCAGGUCUUAAUGGUCUUAAGGGUAAUGCGGGCCUGCCAGGGUUCCCUGGACUUAAAGGACAGAUUGGAUUGAAAGGAGAUGUUGGACCGUCUGGUAUACCAGGGAUAGAUGGGACUCCAGGAGCUAAAGGAGAACCAGGGUUCAUGGGAAUAUCCGGACGCCCUGGACUAAAAGGAGACCGAGGAUAUACUGGAGUAUCUGGUAUGGAUGGUAGACCAGGACAGCCUGGAGUAGAAGGUUUGAAGGGUAACCAAGGGUUUGACGGACCGAUGGGACCUAAAGGAGAUCGUGGAAUGGACGGUUUGCCAGCCUCUCCAGGUGUCAAGGGAGACAAGGGAGACCAAGGAAUGACUGGACUUCCAGGAAAGGACGGAUUGAAAGGGGAACUAGGAAACCCAGGACCACCGGGAGAACCAGGGUUUACCGGGUUGCCAGGAGACAAGGGAGAUCGAGGUAUACCUGGAAUACCUGGCAGGAACGGAAUGAAAGGAGAAAUGGGAUUUCAGGGACCAACAGGGAUACCAGGCCUUAGUUCAAAGGGAGAGAAAGGACUACCAGGACUACCUGGUAAACAAGGACGACCAGGGAUGCCUGGACAACCGGGAACUAAAGGAGACGCUGGUCCUCCAGGUCUACCUGGUAUACAGGGAAUACCGGGGGAUAACGGAUACCCUGGUAGACCAGGAGAAAAGGGAGAUAAUGGUAGACCAGGGAUACCAGGUAUCACUGGACCACCCGGUCCCACAGGAAAUAAAGGAAACCUAGGUCCUACAGGAUUCCCUGGUAGGAAGGGAGAUAUUGGACCACCGGGAUAUCAGGGCCCUCCAGGGGAUAAGGGAUACAACGGACCACCAGGAGAAAAUGGACUUCCAGGACUCCCGGGAAUGAAAGGAGACAAAGGAAUGACCGGGAUGCCCGGACCAUCAGGACCACAGGGACUACAGGGGGUCAAGGGAGAGUUCGGUCCUCCAGGAGAGUUUGGACUUGCCGGACCACCCGGACUUACAGGACGGGACGGAUCUCCAGGAUUUCCAGGUUUAAAAGGAAUACAAGGACCUCCCGGGUUAAAUGGACCACCUGGAAAACCUGGAUUGUCAGGACGACCUGGUCCUCCUGGUUCUCCAGGUAUGCCCGGAAUCAAAGGAGAUAUGGGACUCCCUGGACUAGAUGGUAGACCUGGGGGACCUGGACCUACUGGACCUAAAGGAGAACAAGGUUUCGAUGGAAUGCCUGGAGCUCCGGGGCGGCCUGGUUUGCCCGGGUUAAAAGGUCAAGACGGGCAAACAUGUGUCGAGGACCGGCAGGUACCUACCGGUCAUCUUCUGGUUCGGCACAGUCAGAGUUCCUCUAUACCUCUCUGUGAACCUGGAACCACAAAACUGUGGGACGGAUAUUCUCUACUUUAUGUUGAAGGAAACGAGAAAUCUCAUCACCAAGAUCUAGGUAUGCCAGGUUCUUGUGUUGCUAGAUUCAACACAAUGCCGUUCUUAUUCUGUGACUUUAACGAUGUCUGCAAUUAUGCGAGCAGGAAUGAUAAGUCCUACUGGCUGUCUACAAUAGCUCCGAUACCUAUGAUGCCUGUAGCAGACUAUGCUAUCAGGGAUUAUAUAAGCAGGUGUGUUGUAUGUGAGGUUGAGAGUAAUGUACUGGCAGUACAUAGUCAGGAUAUGAAUGUACCAGAUUGUCCCCAGGACUGGGAGGGAUUAUGGAUCGGAUACAGCUUUGUCAUGCAUACAGCAGCCGGAGCUGAGGGUGGAGGACAGGCCCUGUCUAGCUCCGGGUCCUGUCUGGAGGACUUCAGGGCUACUCCCUUCAUAGAAUGCAACGGAGCCCGGGGUACCUGCCAUUAUUUUGCAAAUAAAUUCUCCUUCUGGUUGGCAACUGUAGAUUCAAAUAAUAUGUUCUCCAGACCUGUCUCUCAGACAUUAAAGGCCGGAAACCAGAGAGCCAGAGUCUCUAGGUGUCAGGUUUGCAGGAGAACCGGAUAGAACAGGUCACUAAUCAGAUGGCGGAUGGUGCUAUGGAAACACAUUUUUUGGAGGAAACGGACCCGAAAAAAGAGGAAACUGAUCAACAAACUGAGAAUUUGAAACUUUUACUGAAAAUCGGAAAUGGACCCAAAAUAAGAGGAAACGGACCCAAAAAAAGAGGAAAUAGAUCAACAAACUGAAAGUUUAAAACUUUUUCCGAAAACUGGAAACUGACCCAAAAAAAGAGGAAACGGACCAAAAAAACGGGAAACAAAUCAAAUGUGUAUAUAUUGCUGAAACCGACCCAAAAUAUUCAGAAAUCCCUCAACACUUUUUAGUUUUUGAGGAAUUUCAGAUAAUUCUUGAAAAAAGAAGGAAACGGACCCAAACUCAUUUUUGGGUCCGUUUCCGUGUGGAGGCGUUUCCAUAUCACCAGGGAAUUUCACCAUUAAAUUUUUUUUAAUGGGAUUGGAAAAUUCCUUUACAACACUUUUUAUUAAAGAAACUUUUUGAAUUCUAAAUGUACCUUAAAAUUUUAAUAAAGGAAAUUCUUGAAAA